rnacentral:tRNA from 1 species
UUUAAAAGCAGUUUUUGGAAAAUAUUAACCUUGGAAGUUAUUGGAUGACGAAAUAGUCACUUUUAAAG